CCUACGGGGGGCUGCAGUGGGGAAUAUUGGACAAUGGGGGGAACCCUGAUCCAGCCAUGCCGCGUGUGUGAAGAAGGCCCUCGGGUUGUAAAGCACUUUCAGUGAGGAAGAACGCCUGGGGGGUAAUACCCAUAGGGAAAGCCAUCACUCACAGAAGAAGCACCGGCUAACUCCGUGCCAGCAGCCGCGGUAAUACGGAGGGUGCGAGCGUUAAUCGGAAUUACUGGGCGUAAAGCGCGCGUAGGUGGCUUGAUAAGCCGGUUGUGAAAGCCCCGGGCUCAACCUGGGAACGGCAUCCGGAACUGUCAAGCUAGAGUGCAGGAGAGGAAGGUAGAAUUCCCGGUGUAGCGGUGAAAUGCGUAGAGAUCGGGAGGAAUACCAGUGGCGAAGGCGGCCUUCUGGACUGACACUGACACUGAGGUGCGAAAGCGUGGGUAGCAAACAGGAUUAGAUACCCCUGUAGUC
rnacentral:rRNA from 1 species